rnacentral:rRNA from 1 species
UACGAAGGGGGCUAGCGUUGCUCGGAAUCACUGGCGUAAAAGGGUGCGCAGGCGGGUCUUUAAGUCAGGGGUGAAAUCCUGCAGCUCAACUGUAGAAGUGCCUUUGAUACUGGCGAACUCGAGGGAGGUAGGGGUCGCUGGAACUUCUGGUGGAGCGGUGAAAUGCGUUGAUAUCAGAAGGAACGCCGGUGGCGAAAGCGAGCGACUGGAUCUCUUCUGACGCUGAGGCGCCGAAAGCCAGGGGA